rnacentral:rRNA from 1 species
ACGAGCGGCGGACGGGUGAGUAAUGCAUAGGAAACUGCCCAGUAGUGGGGGAUAGCCCGGGGAAACCCGGAUUAAUACCGCGUACGCCCUUCGGGGGAAAGCAGGGGAUCUUCGGACCUUGCGCUAUUGGAUGUGCCUAUGUCGGAUUAGCUAGUUGGUGGGGUAAAGGCCUACCAAGGCGACGAUCCGUAGCUGGUCUGAGAGGAUGAUCAGCCACAUCGGGACUGAGACACGGCCCGAACUCCUACGGGAGGCAGCAGUGGGGAAUAUUGGACAAUGGGGGCAACCCUGAUCCAGCCAUGCCGCGUGUGUGAAGAAGGCUUUCGGGUUGUAAAGCACUUUCAGUGAGGAGGAAAACUCUGCGACUAAUACUCGUAGGGCUUGACGUUACUCACAGAAGAAGCACCGGCUAACUCCGUGCCAGCAGCCGCGGUAAUACGGAGGAUGCAAGCGUUAUCCGGAAUCAUUGGGUUUAAAGGGUCCGUAGGUGGAUUGGUAAGUCAGAGGUGAAAGCCUGCAGCUCAACUGUAGAACUGCCUUUGAUACUGCUAGUCUUGAAUUAUUGUGAAGUGGUUAGAAUAUGUAGUGUAGCGGUGAAAUGCAUAGAUAUUACAUAGAAUACCGAUUGCGAAGGCAGAUCACUAACAAUAUAUUGACACUGAUGGACGAAAGCGUGGGGAGCGAACAGGAUUAGAUACCCUGGUAGUCCACGCCGUAAACGAUGUCUACUAGCCGUUGGGACUCUUGAAGUCUUAGUGGCGCAGCUAACGCACUAAGUAGACCGCCUGGGGAGUACGGCCGCAAGGUUAAAACUCAAAUGAAUUGACGGGGGCCCGCACAAGCGGUGGAGCAUGUGGUUUAAUUCGACGCAACGCGAAGAACCUUACCUGGCCUUGACAUGCAGAGAACUUUCCAGAGAUGGAUUGGUGCCUUCGGGAACUCUGACACAGGUGCUGCAUGGCCGUCGUCAGCUCGUGUCGUGAGAUGUUGGGUUAAGUCCCGUAACGAGCGCAACCCCUAUCCCUAGUUGCUAGCAGUUCGGCUGAGAACUCUAGGGAGACUGCCGGUGACAAACCGGAGGAAGGUGGGGAUGACGUCAGGUCAUCAUGGCCCUUACGGCCAGGGCUACACACGUGCUACAAUGGUGCGCACAGAGGGCUGCAAACCCGCGAGGGGGAGCCAAUCUCACAAAACGCAUCGUAGUCCGGAUCGCAGUCUGCAACUCGACUGCGUGAAGUCGGAAUCGCUAGUAAUCGUGAAUCAGAAUGUCACGGUGAAUACGUUCCCGGGCCUUGUACACACCGCCCGUCAAGCCAUGGAAGCUGGGAGUGCCUGAAGUCCGUCACCGCA